UAAGGAAUAUUGGUCAAUGGACGAAAGUCUGAACCAGCCAUGCCGCGUGCAGGAUUAAGGCCCUAUGGGUCGUAAACUGCUUUUAUACGGGACAAAACCACCCUACGUGUAGGGUGCUGAUGGUACUGUAAGAAUAAGGAUCGGCUAACUUCGUGCCAGCAGCCGCGGUAAUACGAAGGAUUCGAGCGUUAUCCGGAUUUAUUGGGUUUAAAGGGUGCGUAGGCGGACUGAUAAGUCAGUGGUGAAAGCC
rnacentral:rRNA from 1 species